UACGUAGGGUGCAAGCGUUAAUCGGAAUUACUGGGCGUAAAGCGUGCGCAGGCGGUUUUGUAAGUCUGACGUGAAAUCCCCGGGCUCAACCUGGGAAUUGCGUUGGAGACUGCAAGGCUGGAGUCUGGCAGAGGGGGGUAGAAUUCCACGUGUAGCAGUGAAAUGCGUAGAGAUGUGGAGGAACACCGAUGGCGAAGGCAGCCCCCUGGGACAAGACUGACGCUCAUGCACGAAAGCGUGGGGAGCAAACAGG
rnacentral:rRNA from 1 species